GACGAACGCUGACGGCGUGCUUAACACAUGCAAGUCGAAGGGAGUGGCGAAAGGGGGAGUAAGACGUGAGUAACCCGCCCUUUGCUUCGGGAUAAGCCUGGGGAACUGGGUCGAAUACUGGGUGAAUGGGGUUUGGCUCGCGGAUUAUCAGCUUGUUGGUGGGGUGAUGGCUUACCAAGGCUUUCACGGGUAGCCGGCCUGAGAGGGUGGUCGGUCACGGUGGGACUGCGAUACGGGCCAGACUCCUACGGGAGGCAGCAGUGGGGGUUAUUGCACAAUGGACGAAAGUCUGAUGCAGCGACGUCGUGUGGGGGAUGAAGGCCUUCGGGUUGUAAACUCCUUUCGCCCGCGGAAUGGUAUUGGGUAAAUAAGCCCCGGCUAACUACGUGCCAGCAGCCGCGGUAAUAC
rnacentral:rRNA from 1 species